rnacentral:lncRNA from 10 species
UGAAGAACAUGGGUGCUCUGGUAGCCUGCUUAUAUAGUUGUGGUCCCACUCCCCUCUACCCUCACUUCCAAUUCAGAGCUGAGGCAGGAGAAUUGCUUGAACUCGGGAAGCAGAGGUUGAAGUGAGCCAAGAUUGUGCUACUGCACUCCAGCCUGGGCGACAGAGUGAGGCCCUUCUCCAAAAAAGGAUCUGGCAUGCACAAUAAGUUUCCAUAAAUAUGUGUUAAAUCAAGAGAAGUAUCAGGUCUGAAGGGCCGCAGGGGAUAGAUCUUUUGGAUUUAGUUCCCCUUAGCAGGCUUUCUUUGCGGGUGGAGGAGCUAUGCACCUGCCUAAGCAUCUGAUUUCACUUCUGGCCAGGCCGCCAGUGAAGAGAAGGCCAUGGUCUAAUUAAAACUACCUAGCCCGGGGCCGGGCUCAGUGGCUCACGCCUGUAAUCCCAGCACUUUGGGAAGCUGAGGUGGGCAGACCACAAGGUCAGGAGAUCGAGACCAUCCUGGCUAACAUGGUGAAACCCCGUCUCUACUAAAAAUAGAAAAAAUUGGCCUGGCGUGGUGGUGGGCGCCUGUAUUC